rnacentral:rRNA from 1 species
AGUGAACGCUGGCGGUAGGCCUAACACAUGCAAGUCGAACGGCAGCACAGUAAGUGCUUGCUCUUACGGGUGGCGAGUGGCGGACGGGUGAGGAAUACAUCGGACUCUACUUUUUCGUGGGGGAUAACGUAGGGAAACUUACGCUAAUACCGCAUACGACCUACGGGUGAAAGCAGGGGAUCUUCGGACCUUGCGCGAUUGAAUGAGCCGAUGUCGGAUUAGCUAGUUGGCGGGGUAAUGGCCCACCAAGGCGACGAUCCGUAGCUGGUCUGGGAGGAUGAUCAGCGACACUGGAACUUGGACACGGUCCAGACGCCUACGGGAGGCAGCAGUGGGGAAUAUUGGACAAUGGGCGCGAGCCUGAUCCAGCCAUACCGCGUGGGUGAAGAAGGCCUUCGGGUUGUAAAGCCCUUUUGUUGGGAAAGAAAAGCAGCAGGUUAAUACCCCGCGGUUCUGACGGUACCCAAAGAAUAAGCACCGGCUAACUUCGUG